UGGGGAAUAUUGCACAAUGGGCGCAAGCCUGAUGCAGCCAUGCCGCGUGUGUGAAGAAGGCCUUCGGGUUGUAAAGCACUUUCAGCGGGGAGGAAGGCGGUGAGGUUAAUAACCUCAUCGAUUGACGUUACCCGCAGAAGAAGCACCGGCUAACUCCGUGCCAGCAGCCGCGGUAAUACGGAGGGUGCAAGCGUUAAUCGGAAUUACUGGGCGUAAAGCGCACGCAGGCGGUCUGUCAAGUCGGAUGUGGAAUCCCCGGGCUCAACCUGGGAACUGCAUUCGAAACUGGCAGGCUAGAGUCUUGUAGAGGGGGGUAGAAUUCCAGGUGUAGCGGUGAAAUGCGUAGAGAUCUGGAGGAAUACCGGUGGCGAAGGCGGCCCCCUGGACAAAGACUGACGCUCAGGUGCGAAAGCGUGGGGAGCAAACAGG
rnacentral:rRNA from 1 species